CCAGAUCUCUCUGACCCGAGACGCACCCGCGACCUGACCCGGCCAGCGCUCCACCGUCCGGCCACCUCUCCGCGGAGGACCACUGGAAAUAGGUUCAUUUCGCCGUCGCCUACGUCCCUGCGGUCUCAGAUCGUCCAUGCAACAAUCGUGCACGGAGAACCGACAACGGAAAGCUUCGAACUUUCUCCGGCGAUUUCCGCGAGUUCUGGCCACUGUCUGGGUUGCAUUUGCUUGGGUUCAACGUCGUUGCUACCGUCGGCGACCUUUCCAGCUCUCAUUGGCUUGUUCUCGGUUUCGACUGCAACUGUAGGCAAGAUAUUGGGCAGCUUGCUGGGUAGAUUACAUCGAUAUCCUCAGUUCAUCAUCUACCUAGUUUCAGCAAGGAGUUUGGUAAGGUUGCAGUUGGAUUUUGAAGGACUCCAGUUACCUGAGGAACGGAAGGUUCGCGACUCUAGGAGUACAUGAGGAAAAGCAUCGGAAUCCAGGUAGGGAUUCAGGACUCUCCUCGGUUAGUGAUUUUCUUAUAUAUAUAUUGUUAUUAAAAUGAUGCAUGUUAAGUGGUACGGUUUGGUUAAGUUAAAAUGCAACGCAUACUAACCAAAUCGUGAGAAAUGUGAUGGCUUGAGGGCGAAAAAGGGGCACUGACUUCCUUGGGUUCGAUUCCCUUAACCUCCGGAGGGUUAGCUAUGCCGGUCGUCCGAGUAUCCGUAAUCACGGACUCGGUACGUGUGUGUAGCUAGGUAGUGGACGCUCUCGCUACACUUACCUGGUGAUAAAAUAAUUUGAGUGUGGAUGCAGGUACUGUGCACUGGUGAAGGGAUAAUGGCGGACGGAGUUGGGUGUGCGGAACAAGUUUGGUAAACCGUCUUCUGGACAGUAUUCUAAUAUCUAUUUCUUGAAAUUUGUAUCUCGGAACUGGGGUGAAACUAUUCUUGUGUCGAACUUAGUUAAUGUCUUAUUCCUUGAACUUUGUACCGAGUGAGCGAGCGUUCUUUUCAAGUCUAGACGAACAAAUUGAACUUAGCGAUUGAAGGAUUUUCACCUAAAAAAUAUUGGUACCUUCCGCUAUGUUUUGUGAAAAGUUUUUCAAACAAAAUGCCUAGCGGUCCUCUAGAAUGUAAACUGAGCAUUCGGUUUAUGUUUUAGAGACUCGCGGCACUGCGGCUUGGGGUAUUACAACCAACCUCGUCACAAGGCUCUUUUCUCUGCCUUUUGGAAAAGGACUUUCGCCUUACGGAUAAGGACUUGUGGUGUGAUCUCU